CCCUUAGAUGUUCUGGGCUGCACGCGCGCUACACUGAUGCACUCAACGAGUUUACGACCUUGCCCGAUAGGGUUGGGUAAUCUUUUUAAAAUGCAUCGUGAUGGGGAUAGAUUAUUGCAAUUAUUAAUCUUCAACGAGGAAUUCCUAGUAAGCGCGAGUCAUCAGCUCGUGCUGAUUACGUCCCUGCCCUUUGUACACACCGCCCGUCGCUCCUACCGAUUGAGUGCUCAGGUGAAUAAUUCGGACUGCAGCAACGUUUGGAUCCCGAACGUUGCAGCGGAAAGUUUAGUGAACCUUAUCACUUAGAGGAAGGAGAAGUCGUAACA
rnacentral:rRNA from 1 species